rnacentral:tRNA from 1 species
UCUAAUAUGGCAGAUUAGUGCAGUAAAUUUAAGCUUUACAUAUAAAGAUUUUUAACUUUUAUUAGAA